UCAGGCUCAUCCUGGAGCCAGCUCUGCAGAGGGAACAUGGGGGGAGGCGACUCACACCAUGACCUGUGUGGAGGUGGCCAUGGUCGGGUGAACCAAUGAACCAAGACUCCUGAGUGUGUUAAGUCCAAAGAGCAGGACUCCGUGAAGGAAAGAGGGAAGAGCUGCAGCGGGGAGGCUGAACAGGAUUUUAACAACGGCUUGAAGAAACAAACUUACCAUGAAAAUGCAGGGCAGUCCAGCCUUGUGCAGACAAA
rnacentral:lncRNA from 1 species